GUUCCAGUUUUUUCCGGCAGCUCCAGUUUUCAGUUUUCUGUUUCAGUUUCAGCGAGUUUUCAGUUGAUAAUCCAAAGAUGUCUUUGGGAUUAGAUGCUUUCGGGUAUAGAAACCCGGGUUCUGGCAGUUCCGGUGUUAUGAUUACCUCAGAACCUUUACUGGGAGGUUCAAACUACCUAGCUUGGGCUUCGUCUGUCGAGUN
rnacentral:lncRNA from 1 species